rnacentral:tRNA from 1 species
GACUGUUUGGCGCAAUGGUAGCGCGUGCCCCUCCUAAGGGCAAGGUUGUGGGUUCGAGUCCCAUGAUGGUCG